CAAGUCGAACGAGAGAGAAGGAGCUUGCUUCUUCGAUCGAGUGGCGAACGGGUGAGUAACGCGUGAGGAACCUGCCUCAAAGAGGGGGACAACAGUUGGAAACGACUGCUAAUACCGCAUAAGCCCACGGGUCGGCAUCGAUCUGAGGGAAAAGGAGCAAUCCGCUUUGAGAUGGCCUCGCGUCCGAUUAGCUAGUUGGUGAGGUAACGGCCCACCAAGGCGACGAUCGGUAGCCGGACUGAGAGGUUGAACGGCCACAUUGGGACUGAGACACGGCCCAGACUCCUACGGGAGGCAGCAGUGGGGAAUAUUGCACAAUGGGGGAAACCCUGAUGCAGCGACGCCGCGUGGAGGAAGAAGGUCUUCGGAUUGUAAACUCCUGUUGUUGAGGAAGAUAAUGACGGUACUCAACAAGGAAGUGACGGCUAACUACGUGCCAGCAGCCGCGGUAAAACGUAGGUCACAAGCGUUGUCCGGAAUUACUGGGUGUAAAGGGAGCGCAGGCGGGAAGACAAGUUGGAAGUGAAAUCUAUGGGCUCAACCCAUAAACUGCUUUCAAAACUGUUUUUCUUGAGUAGUGCAGAGGUAGGCGGAAUUCCCGGUGUAGCGGUGGAAUGCGUAGAUAUCGGGAGGAACACC
rnacentral:rRNA from 1 species